GUGGGGCGGAGGAGGCAUCGUGUGCAGAGGCAGCUGCUACUGCUGUGGCGCCUCCCUGGCGCGCGAGUGCGUGCACAAGGAUCCCCGACGUGCGGCCCGGCGCCCUCCUCUGCUGGGGCGUCUUCACCAAUGACUUCUAGGGCAAGGGCAUGGCCUAGAACUCGAGCCACAAGUCCUACCGGCCGCUCUGCGUCCUCACCUUCAAGUUGAGAUUGCCUGCCUGCAAAAGUAGUUCAGCUCGGGUUUAAGAAGACUGGACCUCAAGGAAGCAUUUGAUAUGUAUCUUUUCAGAAAUUUGAUUCCACCCUCCUAAGGACCCCAGAAGAACAUGGGAUGCAGGCAGGAAUUUCUAUAGGAGCAAGCGCUAGAACAGAAGUUUUCACCAAAAACAAAGGAAGUAAGUAGAGACAAAAGCAAUACAACAAGACCGAGAAACAAAAAGCCAGGAUAUUGAUUUGGGGACUCUUGACAGUGGAAGGAGGUGCCAGCCAACUACUGAGAGGAAUGGAUCAGGCUUUUAAGAAAUUACUUCUGUGAUGAAGAGAGGAAAAGAUCCCAGAUUCUUUACCCAAGGAAUUUCCACCACCUUGUGUGAACGGAGAACAGAGAGAAAACAGAGAACAUGUAGGGGCAGGUGGCCAGCAGCCCUGGGACGGGGUGGGGGACAGAAACUCAGCACCUGACUGAGUGGUAGAUCUCAUGGUCCAAUAGCCACUUUGGCACAGGGAGUGGAAAGGAGCCAACCCAAGGCCAUACCCCUGUGUGCAUGGCAAGCACCCCAAAGGACAAGAUCUGACUGGUUGGACCUCUCUUCCUCUUGGAUACAACGUCUCCACUCGGAAGAACUCUAGAAACAGUCCUUUGGAUGGUCGGCCAUCGCAUCAGAUGGCCCAUUCCUGGCUUUGAGAAGACAGGAACCAUUGUGUCAUGGAGAAAGCAUAGACUGAGGACCAGACAGAACGGUGAGCCCCAGCUCCAUGUGAGUCUGCCAUUUGCCACCUGUAUUAAGUUCAGGCAAGUCAUCUAACCAUCUGAGCCUCUAUUUCCUUAUGAGAACAUGGAGAAAAGAAUCACCGCAUGAUGGGGUGCCUGGGUGGUACAGUCCGUAGGUUUCUUGACUCCCGGUCUCAGCUCAGGUCAUGAUUUCACAGUUCAUGAGUUUGAGCCCUGCAUCGGGCUCUGCACUGAUAGCACUGAGCCUGCCUGAGAUUCUGUCUCUCUCCCUCUCUUUGCCAUUCUCCCACUUGUGCCCCCCCCUCAAAAUAAAUAAACUUAAAAAAAAUAAAAAUUUAAAAAGAGUCAUGACAUGAUUAUCAAACCUAUUAGUGUAUGUUAAUCUUUAUUCCAUUUUUUCUGUUUCUUCCUCACAAUGCCUAAUGUAGUGUUGUGCAUAAAAUGGACAUUAAGUUGAUAUUGGACACCAUGUGUCCAACAUGUAUUGAGUACUGUAUACCAGGAACUGCAAUUGGUCCUGAGCACACACCCGUGAAAAUUCAGCCUUCAGUCAGCCUGGAUUCUCCAUCAUCAGGAAUGCAGCUGCUGAUGGCUCUUGGCACAUGGCUUUCACAUCACACAACAUCACCAUCAGAAUGGGCUGAAAUUUGUUCUCUAUGGUGAGAUUCAUAAUGUCCAACAAGGACUCCAACUGAUCAAACCUUGUGUAAGGUUUCCACCCAGUUCCAAUUAACUGUGGCUAGAAACAUAAACUUCUUGGGGUGCCUGGGUGGCUCAGUCGGUUGAGCGUGCAACUUUUGAUUUUGGCUCAGGUCAUGAGCAUGGGGUCAUGGGAUUGACCCCUGAAUUGAGCUCCACACCAAGUAUGAAACCUACUUAAGAUUCUCCCUCUCUCUCUUUCUCUCUCUCUGUCUCUCUCCCUCUGCCUCCCUCCCUCCCUCCCUCCACCUCUCUCCCUUCCUCCCCCUGUGCCCCUCUUCCCCACUCACACACACACACUCUCUCUCCCUUUCUUUCUAAAAAAGGAAGGAAGGAAGGAAGGAAGGAAGGAAGGAAGGAAGGAAGGAAGGAAGGAAGGAAGGAAAAGCUUCCUUACUGUGUCUGUCCCAAGUGCAAUCUCAUAUGUAUCCAGGGAUAAUCAGCAUUGGUUAUCAGAGAGUAGGUUCCAUAAGACAAUGGUCCCUCCCUUUGAUUGGUUCAGUGGAUAAAGGAACAUUUCCCAGAAGGGCUGUGUACGAAGACGAUGCUAUUCCAGGCGGAUAAUACAGCAUAUAUCCAUGUCAGUAUAUCUUAAGAGCAGGCUCUUUGUCUUGUUGGUCUUACUCAUCUGCCCAAAUCAUUGACACAUGUGCAUGUAUAUUUGAAAUGUUUGUGGAAAGGAAGAAUAUAGAAAAAAACAGGGAAUAUUUAAUUGCUAUUUUUGUGGCAAUGACUAUACCAACAAUGCAACUACAGUGUGGGAUUUAGAGGGGUCAUGAAAGAGAUAAAAACUUUAAUUAGGCCUCCAAGAAUGAUUUAAGUAAGAUUUGAUUAAGGAAGAAGGGAGAAGGCAUUUCAUAAAUGAACCUGGCUUAUGUGUUUAUGUGAGGGGUGAGGGAAAGCAAUCAGGGUUCAAAUGGGCCUUACUGAAGCAGUGAGGAAAUAAUGGAUAAAGAUGAUAAAUCAACUAUUGGAGGCAGGCUAUUUGAACCCCAAGAAAUGGUCUAUUCCUAAUGUGUUAGUGAGUAGGAAGGCAUAUAAGGUCUUAAUAUUUAUGAAUAUUCAUGAAUAUUAAUUUAGGAAGAUUAACAGUUGCAAUGCUGAGGAAACUGGUCAUGAAGAUAUUUUCUGGGAAGUUAGCAAUGAAACCCUGAAGUGACAUCCCGAAUCAAUAAAGAGAAAUCACUGAUUCUGUGACAGAUUGGAGAUAGAAGCUCUAUUUCAGCAAAGGGAAACUCAAAAAUAACUUUAAAGCUGAUGAUGAUGAUGAUUAUGAUGAUGAUGAUGAUGAUGAUGAUACCCCUGGAAUAUAUUAGAUGAUAGGGAAAGGAGUUUGGGUUGAUAGAAAUAACAAGCUUAAUUUUGAAAUCCUAGGAAAUUAAUUUUGAAUUCUAGAAACUAGCAGAGCACUUGAAUGGAGGCAGUCAGUAGACUUCUACAAAUAUCAUCCUGAAUUUCACGUAAAAUCUGAAGGUGUCUUAUGGAAGCCAAAAUUACUUUAAUAAUUUUACUUCACAAGGAUGUGAGUCUUCACUCUAUGGAAACGUCUGGACUAGGUGUUCUGUCCAAACAAGAAAGAUACAAUCCCUGCCUUUUAGCCACUUCCCUUCUGUGAGGGGACAUGACAAGCAAACACUUCACUACGAUAUCAAUAAUCCUAUGACCUUAGGCUUAGGUUUGUGUUUCUUACUGUGUUUUAACUGAAAAGUGGGAUUCUACACCAAAAGCAACAUUAAGAAAUAGUCCUAAACCAAUGGGGCGGCAACAUUUGCUUUCUUUGGUUGCCAUGGCAGUCAAUCUUGGCAUUUCAUGGAGAAAUGUGCUCUCAAGACUCUGAGCUGGGGCAUUCUGAAGUGGCCUCUGUUGGGCUCCAGCAGCCUCUUCAACUUGCUAUUAUCUUUCACACCAUGGCCCUAAGUGCUUAAACUACUCUGAUAAAGACAGCUUCCAUUUAAUAAGCUCCUGAUUUUUGGAGCUAUAUACUCUAUGUACAUCAGCUCUUUUAAUUCUUGGAAGUGCCCACACAGAAACUCAAAGUGAUGAGUAACUAGGUUUCUAUUACACAGACACCUUUCAUUCAUCCAUUCACUCGACAGAUAUUUAUUAAACCCCUGUUCCCAUCCAGGUGCUAUACUAAGCCCUAAGGUCAGACAGUCCCUACCCUUACGGAAUUUAUAAUCUCAAGAAGGCAGAUAUUGCAUUAUUAAAGAAGUACUUUACAGUAUGAUAUGAUGCUUGCUUUUGUUAUAGACAGGAAGUUAUGGAAAUAUAUAUCAGAGGGAAUCUAAUCUGGUGGGCAGAGAAGGCCUUGCUGAGGAAAUAAGUGACCUUUAAACUGAGACUUGAAGGACAAGUGUUACUAGUUUAGCUAAAAGGGGACAGAAAGUGUAGUCCAGGAAAAUAUACUGAAAAACAUGCUGCAAGCUUGGAAAUGAGAGAGGACCUAGGUGAUUAAAAUAAAUGUAAAAUGUUCUGAGUAUUUGGAUCAUAGAAUUGGAGGCAGAGAGUGAGGGCAACUUGACUAACAAAUUACUGUAUCAGGAUAAGAAUUUAGGCCUGUUGGACUCCAAUACCUGCUCUGGACAUUCUCCCCACAGCCUCUUGAAAUGUGCAAAGAAUCCAGAUUAGGCUGCCAUUUUUCGGUGUCCCAAAAGCCAGGAAGAAAUGGAUUUUUCAUUUCAGGAUGACAGCGUAGUCCCAUUGCACAGGUCUGUAGUUUCAAACAGCAAGAAUGAGUUUUUGAAUAUGCUAACUCUGUAAGUCAGGACUUUCCACAAGCAACCGUCCUUUAAGAUUCAGAGAAAAUUCCAGUGGGUUGGAAGGGAAUUCAGAGGAGAAAUGUCUGGUGGUUUCUCAGGUUGAUUAUUUGAAAAAAUGUGCUGUCAAUAUUCAAUUUUAAGAUUGAAAUUUCAAGUUAAUUGUUUUUUUUUUUCUGUCUGUGAAAAUUACUCUUAUUUUUUAGAGUAGCUCUUCUGAGAACUGAGACUAUAUUGUAGAAAGAGGACCAUGGUCAGCCAUUCUGGUGCCUUUAAUCUAGAGAGAGGGUUUAAUUUGUAAUGUUAAUCUGACACUUUUCAUUAGCACUAUUUUUACUUAAAAAGUAUGGGUAAAAAGUGUGUGUGCCAUAUAAAACUGUUUUGUGGGUUAUCGUGAAAAAUGAUUAAAACAUAGUUAAUGAUGAAUAUAUGUGCACUUCUGACAGCAGCAUUUACAUUGGAUAUCACAUCUCUGUUUUGCUCUUAUAGUAAAUGAGUAAAUCUAAUGCUGCAAAUUCUCAAGGCAACCGUGGGGAAGACAAGAAAAGUUCAGUCAUUAAUCACAUUGUGAAACUAGACAUAGCAGAAAAAGAAUUGAAACAAAACUCACUGGACCAAAAAUAAUCCAUAUUGGAAAGUGUAGAUUUGCCUAGUCAGAUGUAAGAUUCAAGUGAUAUUUGUUUUUCUGAGCUGUCUCCUGACCUAAAAUAGAUAGCAGUAGUGAACGAAACAUUAUACAUUUCCUUUUCUGGGCCCAGUAAAUUGGGAAUUAAAAAAAUAUGCUUUAUGUGUUAGAAGUGCUUUCCCAAAAAUUCUUAUAUAAUUCAUCAGUUAAAGUUAAGUGAAGCUAUCAUUCAUAUUGGCACAGUUAAAUAUUAUAUUAUGACGAUUAAAUAGGGGCAAAGAUUUAUA